GAUGAACGCUGGCGGCGUGCCUAAUACAUGCAAGUCGAGCGAACGGACGAGAAGCUUGCUUCUCUUAUGUUAGCGGCGGACGGGUGAGUAACACGUGGAUAACCUACCUAUAAGACUGGGAUAACUUCGGGAAACCGGAGCUAAUACCGGAUAAUAUUUUGAACCGCAUGGUUCAAAAGUGAAAGACGGUCUUGCUGUCACUUAUAGAUGGAUCCGCGCUGCAUUAGCUAGUUGGUAAGGUAACGGCUUACCAAGGCAACGAUGCAUAGCCGACCUGAGAGGGUGAUCGGCCACACUGGAACUGAGACACGGUCCAGACUCCUACGGGAGGCAGCAGUAGGGAAUCUUCCGCAAUGGGCGAAAGCCUGACGGAGCAACGCCGCGUGAGUGAUGAAGGUCUUCGGAUCGUAAAACUCUGUUAGUAGGGAAGAACAUAUGUGUAAGUAACUGUGCACAUCUUGACGGUACCUAAUCAGAAAGCCACGGCUAACUACGUG
rnacentral:rRNA from 1 species